GGUGGCUCAGUGGUAGAGUGCUUGCCUUGCGUGCACGAGGCCCUGGGUUCGAUUCCUCAGCACCA
rnacentral:tRNA from 1 species